GGGAAACUGCCCGAUGGAGGGGGAUAACUACUGGAAACGGUAGCUAAUACCGCAUAACGUCGCAAGACCAAAGUGGGGGACCUUCGGGCCUCACACCAUCGGAUGUGCCCAGAUGGGAUUAGCUAGUUGGUGAGGUAAUGGCUCACCAAGGCGACGAUCCCUAGCUGGUCUGAGAGGAUGACCAGCCACACUGGAACUGAGACACGGUCCAGACUCCUACGGGAGGCAGCAGUGGGGAAUAUUGCACAAUGGGCGCAAGCCUGAUGCAGCCAUGCCGCGUGUAUGAAGAAGGCCUUCGGGUUGUAAAGUACUUUCAGCGAGGAGGAAGGCAUUAAGGUUAAUAACCUUAGUGAUUGACGUUACUCGCAGAAGAAGCACCGGCUAACUCCGUGCCAGCAGCCGCGGUAAUACGGAGGGUGCAAGCGUUAAUCGGAAUUACUGGGCGUAAAGCGCACGCAGGCGGUCUGUCAAGUCGGAUGUGAAAUCCCCGGGCUCAACCUGGGAACUGCAUUCGAAACUGGCAGGCUAGAGUCUUGUAGAGGGGGGUAGAAUUCCAGGU
rnacentral:rRNA from 1 species